rnacentral:rRNA from 1 species
CAGUAGCCGCGGUAAUACGUAGGUCCCGAGCGUUGUCCGGAUUUAUUGGGCGUAAAGCGAGCGCAGGCGGUUAGAUAAGUCUGAAGUUAAAGGCUGUGGCUUAACCAUAGUACGCUUUGGAAACUGUUUAACCUGAGUGCAAGAGGGGAGAGUGGAAUUCCAUGUGUAGCGGUGAAAUGCGUAGAUAUAUGGAGGAACACCGGUGGCGAAAGCGGCUCUCUGGCUUGUAACUGACGCUGAGGCUCGAAAGCGUGGGGAGCAAACAGGAUUAGAUACCCCCGUAGUCCCUGUCUCUUAUACA